UACUAGGAAAAGGCUUAUAGCCGCACUCCUUACCGCCGGCGAGUUUGAUUUGAAGAUGCCGGCGGUAAGGCCUUCCAGGGUGGCCUAACCCUACCGCCGGCGAGGUCGAAAAGAAGAUGCCGGGGGUAUAUGCGUUACCGCCGGCGAGUUCGAUUUAAAGAUGCCGGCGAUAUAAUGGGCCGCGGAGCCACCGUCCGGCCUGGCCCUACUGCCGGCGAUUUCGGCCCAAUACCGCCGGGGGUAACGGGCCUUUCCGUUGGCGAUCCCGCACCGAAGGUGCCGGGGGUAACGGGUGCCACCCAGGCUGCACUUGUCGCCACACACAACCCCCCCUACAUCCCUCAGACGGGUCAGACCCAACUCCACACCCAGACGUGGCGGCGGCGGCCACACACCGAGCCCGCCUCACCGCCGGCACAUCCCCUUCCCCACACCGCAGCAGGAGAUGAUGGUGGCCAAGUUCCUACCACCGAGCCGCCAAAUCCCCUUCUCCCCGUCCUCAGGAUCCCCUCCUUUCCCUCGGCUCCCUUUUGCUGCGUGCUCACCGGAGAUCUGGUCGCAGAAGAAGAUCUUGGGCGUCCCCAGGCUAGGCCGGCCACCACAGGUCCUCCUCCGCUAGCCCGGCGUCGACGAUGACGACAAGGAUGGCGGAUCCAGGCCUCGCGCGUUCACCGAGGGCGGAUCCAGAUCGCACAACCGCGGCGCCCCAUCGAGUUCGCCUGCCCGCGUCCGUCCGCGCGGAAGCCACGACCACGGUUGCCGGGAUGUGGCGAGGACGCGGGAUGUGGCGGUUGCCGAGCUGCUGGUUGCCGGCGACAUCCCCGAGCUGCAGCUGCCCACCACCACUUGAUCUUGCUACGGCCGACGACCACAACAACCUGCUUGGCUUCAAAAUUCAAAAGAAGCAGUGAUGCCGUGUUGGCUCCGCCUUAGGCACCUGUCGUCGAUCUGUGGACCGGAUCGCUGGAUAUUUGGACGACGAUGGAAGGAUGACGGCGGUGCAGUGGUGGCGCCGGCACCCCUGGCGCAGAGAAGGGCCGCGGACGGUACUGCAAUGGCGGUGGUCGGUGGCCGUGCGCGACAGAAGCACGGCUACUGGCAUGCCGGAAGCAUGUACAGAUGCAGCGUUGAGCUUCGCCUGGCCGGACGAUUGGAUGUCGGCAGCCGGCGUUGCAGUGGCAGUGGUCGCUGUCGGCAAAAGCACGCGACGGAAUCGGUGUGGCUGGCAGGAUGAAGCGCGGCGGCGACAGGGCGAUGGUGACGGCAACGGGGGCAUCAUUCGCCGGCGCACGUCUGGUGUGGUUACGUUUUAUUUUCUGGCCGAUAGGUUCUUUUGUAUUUUCUAAUUGAGAGGGGUUCCAGUCCGCCUGGGAUUAUCUGCCCAUGUUUGUAUCACCGCACUCUCUCUCCCUUUUUAUAUUAGUGGAGGUUAUUGAAAAUCUUUUUUUUUU